AGAGUUUGAUCCUGGCUCAGGAUGAACGUUGGCGGUGUGCCUAAUACAUGCAAGUCGAACGGAGAUUGUAGCAAUACGGUCUUAGUGGCGAACGGGUGAGUAACGCGUUGGUGAUCUGCCUCGAAGUGUGGAAUAACGAUUCGAAAGAAUCGCUAAUACCGCAUAGUCUCUCUUUUUCCAGAAAUUUGAGAGUAAAGGAUUUAUUCGCUUUGAGAGGAGCCUGCGUCCCAUCAGCUAGUUGGUAAGGUAAUGGCCUACCAAGGCGAUGACGGGUAGGGGACCUGAGAGGGUGGCCCCCCACAAUGGAACUGAAACACGGUCCAUACACCUACGGGUGGCAGCAGUAGGGAAUAUUAGAAAUGGACGAAAGUCUGAUCUAGCAACACCGCGUGUGCGAAGAAGGCCUUCGGGUUGUAAAGCACUUUUUGGAAGGAUUAGGAAGGAAUGUACUUCCAGAAUAAGUCUCGGCUAACUACGUGCCAGCAGCCGCGGUAACACGUAGGAGGCAAACGUUAUCCGGAUUUACUGGGCGUAAAGCGCGUGUAGGUGGUUCUGUAAGUAGGGCGUGAAAGCUCCUGGCUCAACUGGGAGAGGCCGUUCUAAACUGCAGAGCUAGAGGAUGGUAGAGGGAGGUGGAAUUCCGGGUGUAGCGGUGGAAUGCGCAGAUAUCCGGAGGAACACCAGUGGCGAAAGCGGCCUCCUGGACCAUUCCUGACACUCAGACGCGAAAGCUAGGGUAGCAAACGGGAUUAGAGACCCCGGUAGUCCUAGCCCUAAACGAUGUAAACUUGGCGUCGGUGGCUUAAUCGUCAUCGGUGUCCUAGCUAACGCGAUAAGUCUACCCCCUGGGGACUACGGGCCCCAAGGUUAAAAUUCAAAGGAAUUGACGGGGUCCCCGCACAAGCCGC
rnacentral:rRNA from 1 species